AAACUGGAGAGUUUGAUCCUGGCUCAGAACAAACGCUGGCGGCGUGCCUAACACAUGCAAGUCGUACGAGAAAGGGUCCUUCGGGACCUGAGUAAAGUGGCGCACGGGUGAGUAACGCGUGGAUAAUCUGCCCCUCAGUUUGGAAUAACUCAUCGAAAGGUGGGCUAAUACCGAAUAAUGCUGUGAGACUUUGGUCGAUCAGUCAAAGAGAGCCUCUGCUUGCAAGCCCUCGCUGAAGGAUGAGUCCGCGUACCAUUAGCUUGUUGGUGGGGUAAUGGCCUACCAAGGCGACGAUGGUUAGCUGGUCUGAGAGGAUGAUCAGCCACACUGGAACUGAGACACGGUCCAGACUCCUACGGGAGGCAGCAGUGAGGAAUCUUGCGCAAUGGGGGCAACCCUGACGCAGCAACGCCGCGUGAGUGAGGAAGGUCUUCGGAUCGUAAAGCUCAGUCAGUUGGGAAGAACCACCUGAGGGUUAAUACCCCUUGGGCUUGACGGUACCAACAGAGGAAGCACCGGCUAACUCCGUGCCAGCAGCCGCGGUAAUACGGGGGGUGCAAGCGUUGUUCGGAAUUAUUGGGCGUAAAGAGCGUGUAGGCGGCAUUAUAAGUCAGAUGUGAAAGCCCUUGGCUUAACCAAGGAAGUGCAUGCAAUACUAUUACCCUAGAGUUACCUAGGGGUAGACGGAACAUAUGGAGUAGGAGUGAAAUCCGUUGAUACCAUAUGGAACACCAAAGGCGAAGGCAGUCUACUGGGGGUUAACUGACGCUAAGAGACGAAAGCGUGGGGAGCAAAACGGAUUAGAUACCCGUGUAGUCCACGCUGUAAACAAUGCCUGCUGGAUACCUGUCCCGACUAAAUCGGGAUGGGUGUCGAAGCUAACGCGUUAAGCAGGCCGCCUGGGAAGUACGGUCGCAAGAUUAAAACUCAAAGGAAUUGGCGGGGACCCGCACAAGCGGUGGAGCAUGUGGUUUAAUAGGAUGAUAACCCAAGAACCUCACCCAGGUUUGACAUUCCGAUGCAAUUCCGCCGAAAGGCGGAACUCCUUCGAGGGUUCGGAACAGGUGUCGCAUGGCUGUCGUCAGCUCGAGUCGUGAGAUGUUCGGUUAAGUCCGUUAUCGAGCGCAACCCCUACUACUAGUUGUAUCACUCUAGUGGGACUGCCCGUGUAAACGGGAGGAAGGUGGGGAUGACGUCAAGUCAGCAUGGCCUUUAUGCCUGGGGCUACACACAUGCUACAAUGGCCAGUACAAAGGGUUGCAACCUCGCGAGGGGAAGCUAAUCUCAUCAAAGCUGGUCUCAGUUCGGAUUGAAGGCUGCAACUCGCCUUCAUGAAGUAGGAAUCGCUAGUAAUCGCCGGUCAGCUAUACGGCGGUGAAUACGUUCUCGGGUCUUGCACACACCGCCCGUCAAGUCAGCAAAGUUAGAACCAUCUAAAGACCCGAAUUUAGCAACGCAAGUUGCUUAUUGAAAGGUCUAAGUUGGGGCUAGUGAUGAGGAUUAAGUCGUAACAAGGUAGCGCUAGGGGAAUCUGGCGCUGGAUCACCUCCUUU
rnacentral:rRNA from 1 species